rnacentral:rRNA from 1 species
AUGAACGCUAGCGACAGGCCUAACACAUGCAAGUCGAGGGGCAGCACAAGGAGCAAUCUGAGGUGGCGACCGGCGCACGGGUGAGUAACACGUAUGCAACCUGCCUGUAAGCGGGGAAUAACCCGUUGAAAGACGGACUAAUACCGCAUAAUACUAAAUUACUGCAUGGUAAUUUAUUUAAACAUUUAUGGCUUACAGAUGGGCAUGCGCAUGAUUAGCUAGUUGGAGAGGUAACGGCUCCCCAAGGCAACGAUCAUUAGGGGUUCUGAGAGGAAGGUCCCCCACACUGGUACUGAGACACGGACCAGACUCCUACGGGAGGCAGCAGUGAGGAAUAUUGGUCAAUGGACGAGAGUCUGAACCAGCCAAGUCGCGUGCAGGAAGAAUGUCCUAAUGGAUUGUAAACUGCUUUUGCAGGGGAAUAAAGUGCAUCACGUGUGAUGUUUUGUAUGUACUCUGCGAAUAAGGAUCGGCUAACUCCGUGCCAGCAGCAGC